UACGUAGGGUGCAAGCGUUAAUCGGAAUUACUGGGCGUAAAGCGCUCGCAGGUGGUUCGUUGCGUCGUGCGUGAAAGACCCUGGCUCAACUGGGGGAUGUCGUGCGAUACGGGCGAACUGGAGGCCAGUAGGGGGAUGCGGAAUUCCGGGUGUAGUGGUGGAAUGCGUAGAGAUCCGGAGGAACACCAGCGGCGAAGGCGGCAUCCUGGACUGGUCCUGACACUCAGGAGCGAAAGCGUGGGGAGCGAUCCGG
rnacentral:rRNA from 1 species